AGACGUAGGGGGCGAGCGUUGUCCGGAAUUACUGGGCGUAAAGGGCAUGUAGGCGGAUGCUCAAGUCAGGUGUGAAAGACCGCAGCUUAACUGCGGGGUUGCAUUUGAAACUGAGGAUCUUGAGGGCAGGAGAGGGCAGUGGAAUUCCUGGUGUAGCGGUGAAAUGCGUAGAAAUCAGGAGGAACACCAGUGGCGAAGGCGGCUGUCUGGACUGACCCUGACGCUGAGGUGCGAAAGCGUGGGUAGCAAACAGGAUUAGAUACCCUGGUAGUCCACGCUAUAAACGAUGGAUACUAGGUGUGGGAGGUAUCGACCCCUUCCGUGCCGCAGCUAACGCAAUAAGUAUCCCGCCUGGGGAGUACGGUCGCAAGGCUGAA
rnacentral:rRNA from 1 species